rnacentral:lncRNA from 1 species
AAAUGACGAAUUACGAUAUAAAGCUGCAAAAUAAAUUUAAAUGAGUUUAGGUGGCCAUUAUAACAGCCCAGAGCUUAAAAGAAAAUAAAAUCAUAAAUUGAAUGCAGAAGUGAAAUAAUAGAGUUAGGGUUUACAUUCUUUACACAAUAAUUUAGAAUACCCAAUAGGACUACGGGAAUGACCAUUAUAAAAGAACAAGUGAAAAAUCAAGAAAUAAAUGAAAAUUAAAC